AAGACUAUUGCCCAGAAGAAAAGAUGUUUAGUUUUCACAAGCCAAAGAUGUACCGAAGUAUAGAGGGCUGCUGUAUUUGCAGAGCUAAGUCCUCCGGUUCUCAAUUCACUGACAGUAAGCGCUAUGAAAAGGACUUCCAGAGCUGUUUUGGAUUGCAUGAGACUCGUUCAGGAGACAUCUGGAAUGCCUGUGUCCUGCUUUUGAAAAGAUGGAAGAAGUUGCCAGCAGGAUCAAAAAAAAAACUGGAAUCAUGUGGUAGAUGUAAGGGCUAGACCCAAUCUAAAGACUACAUUGAAACCAAAGAAAGUGAAAACUCUAUCUGGGAACAGGAUAAAAAGCAACCAGAUCAGUAAACUGCAGAAGGAAUUUAAACGUCAUAAUUCUGAUGCUCACAGUACCACCUCAAGUGCCUCCCCAGCUGAAUCUCCUUGUUACAGUAACCAGUCAGAUGACGGCUCAGAUACAGAGAUGGCUUCUGGUUCUAAUAGAACACCAGUUUUUUCCUUUUUAGAUCUCACAUACUGGAAAAGACAGAAGAUAUGUUGUGGGAUCAUCUAUAAAGGCCAUUUUGGGGAAGUCCUCAUUGACACACAUCUCUUCAAGCCUUGCUGCAGCAAUAAGAAAGCAGCUGCCGAGAAGCCAGAGGAGCAGGGGCCAGAGCCCCUGCCCAUCUCCACUCAGGAGUGGUGACUGAGGUUUUUAUGUAGAAGGGGAACAAAAAAAAAAAAAACAUCUAAAUUUUGAAAAGACCACAAAGCAACAAACUGACCCUCUGUUUUGUUUUUGUUUGUUUUUUUUUUUUUUGAGAUGGAGUCUUGCUCUUGUUGCCUAGGCUGGAGUGCAGUGGCGUGAUCUUAGCUCACUGCAACUUCCGCCUCCCGGGUUCAAGUGAUUCUCCUGCCUCAGUCUCCCAAGUAACUGGGUUUAUAGGUGCCCACCACCAGACCCAGCUAAUUUUUUAGUUUUUGUAGAGAUGGGGUUUCACCACGUUGGCCAGGCUGGUCUCAAAUGACCCUCCUAUUUUUAACUUGGAUAUCUGCUAUUCUGCCAAAAGAUAAUUUCUAGAGUAGUUUUGAAUGGGUUGAUUUCCCCCAGUCCCACAAACUCUGAAGCCAGUGUCUAGCUUACUAAAAAAAGAGUUGUACGUAAUAUUUAAGAUGCUGAGUAUUUCAUAGGAAAGCUGAAUGCUGCUGUAAAGUGCUCUUUAAGUUUUUUUUUUCUUUUAAUCCCCUUCUAAUGAAUGAAACUAGGGGAAUUUCAGGGGACAGAGAUGGGAUUUGUUGUAUGAUAAACUGUAUGUAGUUUUUAGUCUUUCUGUAUUGAGAAGCAGUGGUUGGGGCAUUUUUUAAGAUGGCUGGCUACUCUUGUUUUCCCUCACGAUAAUAAAUUUGUCAUAACUC